rnacentral:rRNA from 1 species
UACGUAGGGUGCGAGCGUUGUCCGGAAUUAUUGGGCGUAAAGGGCUCGUAGGCGGUUUGUCGCGUCGGGAGUGAAAACCCAGGGCUUAACCUUGGGCUGGCUUCCGAUACGGGCAGACUAGAGGUAUGCAGGGGAGAACGGAAUUCCUGGUGUAGCGGUGAAAUGCGCAGAUAUCAGGAGGAACACCGGUGGCGAAGGCGGUUCUCUGGGCAUUACCUGACGCUGAGGAGCGAAAGUGUGGGGAGCGAACAGG